CACUUGGCUACAUCAAAGUGCAUUGUGGCUGAUGCCAAUAAAAAGUGCAUUACAGUAGUCUAAACGAGAGGAGACAAAAGCGUGCACGACUUGUUCAAAAGCAUUAAAAGUUAAAAAAAGGUUUAACUUUAGAUAAAAGACGCAAAUGAUAAAAUCCAG